rnacentral:sRNA from 1 species
UUGCAUAUCUUCAAAACAAGAGCUCCACCCCCCUUGCAGUGUGAAAAGGGGGAGUUCCUUUCAGUCCUCAGAGCUGGGUGCCUUGGAUGUGUUGUAAUCCCACCCCCACUAUUUUGAUGUCUUUUCUGUUCUGCUUUCUGCUUGUUGACUCUUUCCUCGGUAUGCCUACAAAUGGAACAAGAAGAAAAUGGAGUUAGAAUUAAUGAGAAGUCUGCUGAGACAUGGGCUCAGUACUAUGUGCAGGAAGUUAAGUCCUCAACCAGGGAGAAGCUGAGACCUCAAACUGAUUAGCAAGUAUGGCAUAGAGACUCAGAAGAUAUGAUGAAGUAGACAUUUCUGGGUCUAUCCUCCUAGUGCUGAGAGAAUGACUAUAAAAAUGGAUAACAGCCCGUCUAUCUGACAGCAGGAGGCAAUCACACAAGCUCAGCAGGCCGUAGAGGUCAGAUCUUAGAAAUUACCAGCCUUUCUUAUGUUUCCUUCCUCAUUCAAAUCACGACCACUCAGUGAAAGCCAGAAGGCUCCCUCCGCAGAAUCAUAAGGAGCCUGUGUCUGUUAGCUAGGCAGUUUGCUCACAGCUUGUUUCUAUUUUUAACUAUAAGGCUGUAUACAGUAGCCCGACUUUCCUUUCCUGUCAAAUUCUAGAGAUGAGAUGUUUGACUCCCAUGCUCUAGAAAAUACUAAACAAACAUUUACCCUUUUCGUAAAUUGUUUACGCCUAUAACGCUCUUUCAGGCUUCUGGAUAACACAACAUAUUGUCCAACAGCCCCAACGGUAUCUUAAAACGUUCAUUAGGUUUUGUAAGAUGUUCAGUCACCAAACACUGACCACCCAUAUCCAUCUGUCCCAAACUUUAAUCAGACUAAAGAAACAGAAGGCAAAAAAAAAUUAUAAUUACUCAGAUCGACUUGUUACUUAUUUUGACUUAAAUCUCGACAUAAUAAAAAGUUUGUGUUACUGAAACAAAAUAAUGACUUUAACAACAAAACAAAGAAAUCUACUGUUUGAAGUCAAAGCCAGGACAUAAGGAGUGGCAAGAAAUGCCUGCCGUUGUAUAUCAUGAGAACUUUAAUUAGACUAGAGUAUAGGUCUGUUUCAUUAAAGAUUUGUUUAUGCUGUGCCUCGUCCUUUUCUUAUUCUCCCCAUCCCUUCUCUUUCCACUGGCAAUGUAAUUAGUAUGCAGAACACAACCCUCAUUUUAUUAGGAGAUCAGAUCCAUUCUAUCCUCCACAGAAAUUAUGCUAAAAUUUUGUUUUGCAGUGUCAUUUUGGAGUUUGAGGUCCAGCACUCAUCAACCCUUUGCGUGUGCCCUUUAACACUCCCUGCAUUAAGCUUCCUGUCAUUCUUACCUGAAGUCCUGGAUAAACCACGCUCAGAAAAUCUCUUGAAAUAGAUCCGACUAGGUCAGCUGGAGUGGCCUGCAGCUCCAGGGUCACCCCUCGGGAAAUAAAAUAGCUUGGAGUGAAAAUAUUUUUUUUUUUUGCGUAUGUGCAUGAGUAAAUGACACUGUUCUAUUGGUGUGAAAAGAUACCAUGACCAAGGCAACUCUUAUUUUAAAAAAAAAGCUUUGAACUAGGGCUUGCUUACAGAUUCAGAGGUUUAGUUCCAUGGCUGGGAGCAUUGGCAGAAUACAGGCAGAGGUGGUGCUGGAGUAGUAGCUGAGACUUCUACAUCCAGAUCAGCAGGUAGUAGGGAGAAAGCACCACUAGACCUGGCUUGUGCUUUUGAAACCUUAAAGCCCACCCCCAGUGACACACUUCCUACAAGACCACACCUACUCCAACAAGGUCAUGCCUCCUAUACUGCUACUUCUUGUAACCAAGCAUUCAAAUAUGUGAGCCUAUGGUGUCCAUUCUUAUUCAAGUCACCACAGUAAAUGAAUAUAAAAGGAGGAGAAUUUGGGGAAAGGGUGCCCCCUUCAACUGGAAGAAAAGGGUCUCUA